UGAGGAAUAUUGGACAAUGGGUGGAAGCCUGAUCCAGCCAUCCCGCGUGAAGGAUGACGGUCCUAUGGAUUGUAAACUUCUUUUGUACAGGGAUAAACCUGCCCUCGUGAGGGCAGCUGAAGGUACUGUACGAAUAAGCACCGGCUAACUCCGUGCCAGCAGCCGCGGUAAUACGGAGGGUGCGAGCGUUAUCCGGAUUUAUUGGGUUUAAAGGGUCCGUAGGCAGGCCUGUAAGUCAGUGGUGAAAUCUCAUAGCUUAACUAUGAAACUGCCAUUGAUACUUCAGGCGUUGAGUAAAUUUGAAGUGGCUGGAAUAAGUAGUGUAGCGGUGAAAUGCAUAGAUAUUACUUAGAACACCGAUUGCGAAGGCAGGUCACUAAGAUUUAACUGACGCUGAUGGACGAAAGCGUGGG
rnacentral:rRNA from 1 species